AGUUGGAACUGAACUGCUUUUGGCUCUGGCAGAAUUUCUCUGCCUGAACUACAAAAAGAACCCAGCUGUUACCCAAAUGGGCGAGAGAGAGCUCAAGAGAAAGACUGUACUUCAAAAAUAGGACAAACAAAUGCUCGUGGCAAAGAUUUGGAUACAGACUUCACAAAUAAUGCCUCCCAACCUGAGACCAAAGCCAUCAUUGAAAAUUUGAUUCAAAAACAGGACUUUAGUCUUUCUGUUGCCUUAGAUGGUGGUUCCAUGCUGGUCACAUAUCCUUAUGACAAGCCAGUACAGACAGUGGAAAAUAAAGAGACUCUGAAGCAUUUGGCAUCUCUUUAUGCAAAUAAUCAUCCAUCCAUGCACAUGGGUCAGCCCAGUUGCCCAAAUAAAUCAG
rnacentral:lncRNA from 1 species